ACUUCACUGUUGCCCAUAUCAUCUUCAGUCGGAAGACCCACAGCAGUGCCAUGAGCCCUAAUCAAUCUCCAUUUCUCUGGAGCAGUCUUUUUGAAGGAGUCCAUGGUGGGAGUCUCAGCAACAUGGAUACAGUUAUAUUUAUCAGGUUUAGCCUCACCCCAACCAUCCAAAACCACCAUUGCAAUAAUCUUCCCCUUGGGAAGCUUUGGAUGAUCCGCCAGCUUCCAUGUAAAUUCUCCAGAGCUCCCCAUCUCAAUCCACCUCAAAAAGAUCUGAAUUGAAUUGACCGAUCAAAGUCUGAAAGUGAUUAAAAUCAAGCAGCGAUACACAGAGAAAACAAAAAACCAGUUGCAUUUG
rnacentral:misc_RNA from 1 species